GACGAACGCUGGCGGCGUGCCUAAUACAUGCAAGUAGAACGCUGAAGGAGGAGCUUGCUUCUCUGGAUGAGUUGCGAACGGGUGAGUAACGCGUAGGUAACCUGCCUGGUAGCGGGGGAUAACUAUUGGAAACGAUAGCUAAUACCGCAUAAGAGUAGAUGUUGCAUGACAUUGGCUUAAAAGGUGCAAUUGCAUCACUACCAGAUGGACCUGCGUUGUAUUAGCUAGUUGGUGAGGUAACGGCUCACCAAGGCGACGAUACAUAGCCGACCUGAGAGGGGGUUCGGCCUCACUUGGACUGUGACCCGGCCCAGACUCCUUCGGGCGGCAGCCGUAGGGUGUCUUCGGCGCUGGACGGGAGUCUGACCGAGCAGCGCCGCGUGAGUGACGAAGGUUUUCGGAUCGUAACGCUCUGUUGUAGGAGAGGAACGAGUGUGAGAGUGGACAGUUCACACUGUGACGGUAUCUUACCAGAAAGGGACGGCUAACUACGUG
rnacentral:rRNA from 1 species